rnacentral:lncRNA from 1 species
GCACUUCAGGCUGCCUGUAGUAUUUACAUGAUUUACAUAUCUGAGGAAGUGAAACCUGACAUUAAGCAGCAGAACUGAAGCYGGCAGUGGUCACUGUUAAGAUAUGAAAACAAAAACAGAAAUUCAGGCCCAGCUGGAAGAACAAAAAUUGGCACCUCCAAGCCUCAGAGCUGCUGAGGAGACAUUGGUGUUCAGGAAAUGGCUGGAGUUUUGGGAGAGCAAGCGUACGUAUUCUCGAGCCCUAUUCCUACUCCACACUUCUCUGCAGUCAGAACAGGGUCCAUCACUAGAAAGUGAUGUUUCAGGGAUGCGUUCCAAUAUCUUUCUGGCUUUUAGUCACCCUGCUGAGUAA